CUGUGAUGUGGAGCUAUGCAUCAUCAGCGGUUAAGUCUGACUCCUCCUCCUCUCUGCUGGAGCCCAGCUCCGUGUUUAAAGCACAACGCUAAACAUGCUGGAGCUAAACCAGACUGCAUAACACACACGUGGGGAAUGAAUUAGAAACAAACAAAACACUCUGUAAUACUUGCAUUCUACACUCUUGCAAAUUAAAAAAUGUUUUCAGUUUGUAAGCGACACCCAAUCAGUUUGAAAAUUGGGCUGAUUAUUUGUUUUGUCUAAUUGGACAUGAUUGCUGUAAGGAGAUGCAGGUGCAUGGGGGGCUCAGCUGUUUCCAUGGUGGGAGAGUCUAUGUUUUUGCACAACACGCAAGAAGCAGAUUCCUGCAGAGACGCCUACAGCUGGACUCCAGACAUUGGGGAUUUGAACACAGCUCCUUUAGACAGUGAGUCCCAACAACACGUUAACAACCAGACUAUCCGUGCAUGAAAGGAGUAUGGCAGAGCUUACAUCAAGAUGACCAGUGCAAGCACUGUCUGAGGUCCCCAUGGCAACAACAUCAGCAGCAGCUGUCUCUGUGAAGUCAGAGGAGGACCUGCUCUGUGUCAUCGGGUGACAAUUCUUUUGUCUCUCCGUUUUAACAGAUGUCCAACAAGCGGGCUAGACGAAAGUCACUUCAAAGCUUUGUUUAUUUUAUCAGAAAUCCUUUUUUCUCUCAAGACGAUUGGACAUUAUGAGCCACUGUGAGAGCUAUUAUGUCCAGAUGACAGGUAAUGACAAAAUCUCAGAUGAAUUGUGUGGCCAGGCUCAGUCGGGGCACGAAUCAGGUUUUGUUUUUGUUUUUUUUCCUGGAAAGCAUGGAGGAUUGGAAACAGACACCACAAGAUUGAUGCGGGGUUUACUUGCCUAGAUGGAUUACCAGCGAAGAUACAUCUAUACACAGAUGGAUCAGAGGAAAAAAUUGUCUAAAAAACUAGAAGUUAAACAAAAUUGUCUUGUACAAUGUUCUAGGAUUUUUUUUAAUUUUUUUGUCAACGGUUUCAGUUUUUUUUUAUUAAUUACCUAGACAUAUAUCGUGACUAUGCAUAUUGUCUGUCACUUUGUGGAGGCUCUUAAGGAUACUGCUAAAGAUAGCCCAUCAUUUCUUCCGAGAAGAGAUUAAAACCCUGGAUCUGAAGGGUCAAACCAUGCCCUCCUCUGUCUGGGCAAAGCAUGGAUGUUAGAAUCUCUUAUCAGGCAAUACCUAAUGCGAGAGCAUCUGAUCCAGCGCCAAUAUAUGUACUAUGUCAAUGUCCUGCUGUCCUGUUUCUGUUUUUAUCAUUUGCCAUUUGUUGUCCUGGUUUUAAACUAUUGUUGAUAGUACUGAGUCCAAAUAUUUGAAUAUUAGUUCAUUAGCAAUUCAGUGUUUGAGUUCUUCGUUUUUUUGGGAGAAAAAUAAAUAAAUAUAUUAAUAAUAUUUUAUUUUAUUGUAAUGCCAAUACAUUUUUGCAAACCUAAGGUAGGAGGUUAAGUUCCUUUUUGUCUGGACAUCCCGUGAUAUCCCAGGGAUAGAAUAAAGAUCAUGUACGGUCUGAGAAUGCUUCACGUCAAUGCUUCUUUUGAGGUUUUUGUAGCCAUCAUCAAACAUGGG
ensembl:lncRNA